UACGUAGGGGGCAAGCGUUGUCCGGAUUUAUUGGGCGUAAAGAGCGUGUAGGCGGCCAGGUAGGUCUGCUGUGAAAACUCGAGGCUUAACCUCGAGCUGUCGGCGGAAACCAUCUGGCUAGAGUCCGGAAGAGGAGAAUGGAAUUCCCGGUGUAGCGGUGAAAUGCGCAGAUAUCGGGAAGAACACCCGUGGCGAAGGCGGUUCUCUGGGACGGUACUGGACGGCUGAGACGCGAAAGCGUGGGGAGCGAACAGG
rnacentral:rRNA from 1 species